AAGGAUCAUUAAUGAAUUCACUAUGGAGUUGUUGCUGGCCUCUAGGGGCAUGUGCACGCUUCACUAGUCUUUCAACCACCUGUGAACUUUUGAUAGAUCUGUGAAGUCGUCUUUCAAGUCGUCAGACUUGGUUUGCUGGGAUUUAAACGUCUCGGUGUGACAACGCAGUCUAUUUACUUAACACACCCCAAAUGUAUGUCUACGAAUGUCAUUUAAUGGGCCUUGUGCCUAUAAACCAUAAUACAACUUUCAACAACGGAUCUCUUGGCUCUCGCAUCGAUGAAGAACGCAGCGAAAUGCGAUAAGUAAUGUGAAUUGCAGAAUUCAGUGAAUCAUCGAAUCUUUGAACGCACCUUGCGCCCCUUGGUAUUCCGAGGGGCAUGCCUGUUUGAGUGUCAUUAAAUUCUCAAACUCACUUUGGUUUUUUCCAAUUGUGAUGUUUGGAUUGUUGGGGGCUGCUGGCCUUGGCAGGUCGGCUCCUCUUAAAUGCAUUAGCAGGACUUCUCAUUGCCUCUGCGCAUGAUGUGAUAAUUAUCACUCAUCAAUAGCACGCAUGAAUAGAGUCCAGCUCUCUAAUCGUCCGCAAGGACAAUUUGACAAUUUGACCUCAAAUCAGGUAGGACUACCCGCUGAACUUAA
rnacentral:rRNA from 1 species